AUCGCAGUUUUACGAGUAAAAGAAACGUGGUAGCGCCAGCGCCAGUAUACACGGUGGCGUUCAAUUUUUCAUGUACUUGGCGUCGAGACGCUACCGCGUCUCUAGAUAAGAGUUUGCGGUGGGAAUAAUAGAAAGAUAGAUAAAGAAUAGAUAAAGAAAUAGUAUUUGUUGGUUGUAUCUAGUGAAUCAUACAGCGGGUCAGAGAACAUGAGACAGCACUAUAGCAGUCAUCUAGAAGUGUGUAAUACCUAGACCAAUCGGUACUUUUGGAGGUUAAUCGCUUUUUGUCUUUAAAAAAUUGUGUUUUAUCAGCAGUUAGUUGUAUAUUUAUUGGAUAAUGAUCCGAGCUCCAGGUGUCUUCGGAAAUAUUCAAUUUAACUUUGUCAUAGAUAUCUGGAGAUGAGACGACAAGAUCUAAGUUGGACAGUUCUUUUCUAUAGAAAUCUAUGUGGACGUUAUGCGAAUUAAAGUCUCCAAAGAUAAGGCUUGGGCCAUGAGAGUUUAUAUAGUGAAAAAGCUGAUCCCAUUCUUGUGAGGAGUUUUACAGAGGUUAGGAAUCGUGGAAAAAUUUAAGGAUUUUCUAAAUAAAAAUACUGUUGCGACGGUAUGAAGAUGCCGCACUACAGCUCCGAGUUACAUCGUCGCGACGAUGUGAAGUUGCGGAAACGAGUUCCCGCGCUUCCGGUUGCCAGGAAGCAGCAAACUUUUGAAAUAGAAGAGAGCGCUUUGAGAACUCGAACA